GGAGGAGUGGCAGAGUGGUCGAAUGCACCGGUCUUGAAAACCGGCGAAGGUUCACGCCUUCCGUGGGUUCGAAUCCCACCUCCUCCGCCA
rnacentral:tRNA from 1 species